rnacentral:rRNA from 1 species
AUUGAACGCUGGCGGCAGGCCUAACACAUGCAAGUCGAACGAGUGGCGGACGGGUGAGUAAUGUCUGGGCAACUGCCUGAUGGAGGGGGAUAACUACUGGAAACGGUAGCUAAUACCGCAUACCAUCGGAUGUGCCCAGAUGGGAUUCGCUAGUAGGGGGGGUAACGGCUCACCUAGGCGACGAUCCCUAGCUGGUCGGAGAGGAGGACCAGCCACACGGGAACGGAGACACGGCCCAGACUCCUACGGGAGGCAGCAGUGGGGAAGAUUGGACAAGGGGCGCAAGCCGGAUGCAGCCAUGCCGCGUGGAGGAAGAAGGCCUUCGGGUUGUAAAGUACUUUCAGCGGGGAGGCGUUACCCGAAGAAAAAGCACCGGCUAACUCCGUGCCAGCAGCCGCGGUAAUAC